GACGAGCGCUGGCGGCGUGCCUAAUACAUGCAAGUAGAACGCACAGUUUAUACCGUAGCUUGCUACACCAUAGACUGUGAGUUGCGAACGGGUGAGUAACGCGUAGGUAACCUGCCUGGUAGCGGGGGAUAACUAUUGGAAACGAUAGCUAAUACCGCAUAAUAUUGAUUAUUGCAUGAUAAUUGAUUGAAAGAUGCUAUUGCAUCACUACCAGAUGGACCUGCGUUGUAUUAGCUAGUAGGUGAGGUAACGGCUCACCUAGGCGACGAUACAUAGCCGACCUGAGAGGGUGAUCGGCCACACUGGGACUGAGACACGGCCCAGACUCCUACGGGAGGCAGCAGUAGGGAAUCUUCGGCAAUGGACGAAAGUCUGACCGAGCAACGCCGCGUGAGUGAAGAAGGUUUUCGGAUCGUAAAGCUCUGUUGUAAGAGAAGAACGGGUGUGAGAGUGGAAAGUUCACACUGUGACGGCAUCUUACCAGAAAGGGACGGCUAACUACGUG
rnacentral:rRNA from 1 species